rnacentral:rRNA from 1 species
AAAUUGAAGAGUUUGAUCAUGGCUCAGAUUGAACGCUGGCGGCAGGCCUAACACAUGCAAGUCGAACGGUAACAGGAAGCAGCUUGCUGCUUUGCUGACGAGUGGCGGACGGGUGAGUAAUGUCUGGGAAACUGCCUGAUGGAGGGGGAUAACUACUGGAAACGGUGGCUAAUACCGCAUAACGUCGCAAGACCAAAGAGGGGGACCUUCGGGCCUCUUGCCAUCAGAUGUGCCCAGAUGGGAUUAGCUUGUUGGUGAGGUAACGGCUCACCAAGGCGACGAUCCCUAGCUGGUCUGAGAGGAUGACCAGCCACACUGGAACUGAGACACGGUCCAGACUCCUACGGGAGGCAGCAGUGGGGAAUAUUGCACAAUGGGCGCAAGCCUGAUGCAGCCAUGCCGCGUGUAUGAAGAAGGCCUUCGGGUUGUAAAGUACUUUCAGCGGGGAGGAAGGUGUUGUGGUUAAUAACCGCAGCAAUUGACGUUACCCGCAGAAGAAGCACCGGCUAACUCCGUGCCAGCAGCCGCGGUAAUACGGAGGGUGCAAGCGUUAAUCGGAAUUACUGGGCGUAAAGCGCACGCAGGCGGUCUGUCAAGU